rnacentral:lncRNA from 1 species
GGAUCCUUAUGGCGGAAAAAAAGCUCAAACUGCUUUUUUGAUGCUUAAAAGUUGGUAUUCUGGAACGAAUAUAUUACAGAAUAUGCAUUCAGAUGUGUUUUAAUUCAAAAACUGCACUUAUGCGCCUUGUCCUCCAAGCCCCUCCUAUGAUCAUUCUUGGCAACUCUAGUUGCCUACCCACCACGGAGUUGCGUCAGACUUAUCAAUUUUCCAUCAUUCACCGCUUUGCUGUUGUUAACCUCAAAAUGGAGACAACUGCCUGUGCUCCAAUGUCAAGCAUUGAUUUAUCAAAGUAAAAUCUACCAUGUUAAUCGCUUUUUACCUCAAAAGUUAUGGAUGAAGCAUGGAAUCAACUUUCAUCAAAACUCGAAGCCUUACAGGCAUUGUUACUCGUAGCAAUUCAAAGUGGACAAACAACUUUAACCGCGAUCGCUGAUCAGGGACAUGGAUAUGUUGUUGACAUAUUGGCAUCCCCCAGAAUCAUCAAAACUCAGGAACUUGCAAGCAAUGCAAUCACCUCUCUUUUAGAUGCACUAGAUCAUGCACAACAAUUUUCUAGUCAAUACAUUAGUUCCAUCAUCGUUCUUUGCAGUAACUCGCAGUUUUUUCAUAACAAAUUAAGUAGGUCAACAAUCUGUGCAGGAUGUGUAGGAUUGGUCAUCGGAAGUGGGAUUGGCCUGAUUAUAGGUUUAAAUUUGAAAGUUGCUCUGCAGCCAGCUUCCUCAAUGAGGGCAGUUGCAGCCACAAAUUUCUCAGGAAUAGAUGUAAGUUGGUUUUUCAAACAAAGUUUUCCUUGAAUCCUCGGAAUCUUAUGAAAGAUAAGUGCUGGACCUAAUUCAAAUCUGCUGUAUGAUCUGGACGUAUUUUUGCUUAAAAGAACUACAUAAAAGUGAAUAAAAUCAGAAGGAAUCAUGAUGCAAGCAAAUUUUAUGCACAAGGUUUCUUUUGACUCAAUUCUCUUUAACAUAGUUCUUCUAACUUAAAUAUGUCCACAGGGUGUUUAUUGUCAGCAAAAUUGACAAUGG